rnacentral:lncRNA from 1 species
GUUAAACUAAACCCUAAAUAUAUCCAGUCUUCCUACUCGGUUUCUCAGACUGAAAUACUUGUAUUCUAUCUUCAUCGCGGCACGUUUUUUUGGAUUUGAACAGGUUAUCUCUGUCAUGAUGGCCGGUCAAUACGACGAACUUUCUAUCUCUAGCACCUUCAUUAUUGUUUCUCUCUCUGGCAUCAUCGAUUUCAGCUGCAUUUUUCUGGGGUAUAAUGACAACGACACUAAAAUGUAUUUCAGGGAGAGUACUACAACAAAUUUUGAUGCAAAGGGCAGAUGGUAAAAGGAAUUCACCUACUAAUAAAGAUUAAGGAGGAAAUGAGGAAUAAUGCAGAAGCUCAAGCGAUUUAAGAAGUUAAUACGUUAGCAUGUACUGAUUUAUAGCCUCAAACUGCUUGUAUUUAAAGGUGCGGAGUUCAGUUUUAUAAACAUUAUGAUCAUUAUGUUGUUUUCUUUGCUUUCUAUUAUUGUAUGAUGAAGAGUAGGAGAAUGAGAGCCAGAGAGAGAAAGAGAGGAUUUGGGAUAAACAGACCGCUAAUUUCCAUAUUGGUUUCUGGAAUUGGUGAAUCGGGAGAUGCUGAUGAGGUUCAACUCGUGGUGGUGUUGUCUUACAAGUUUACUGGUCUGGAGUGGAAUAGCGGGUUCCUUCAAUAUUGGAC